rnacentral:rRNA from 1 species
CGAGUUAUACAACUCAUCAACCCUGUGAACAUACCUAAAACGUUGCCUCGGCGGGAACAGACGGCCCCGUAACACGGGCCGCCCCCGCCAGAGGACCCCCUAACUCUGUUUCUAUAAUGUUUCUUCUGAGUAAACAAGCAAAUAAAUUAAAACUUUCAACAACGGAUCUCUUGGCUCUGGCAUCGAUGAAGAACGCAGCGAAAUGCGAUAAGUAAUGUGAAUUGCAGAAUUCAGUGAAUCAUCGAAUCUUUGAACGCACAUUGCGCCCGCCAGUAUUCUGGCGGGCAUGCCUGUUCGAGCGUCAUUACAACCCUCAGGCCCCCGGGCCUGGCGUUGGGGAUCGGCGGAAGCCCCCUGCGGGCACAACGCCGUCCCCCAAAUACAGUGGCGGUCCCGCCGCAGCUUCCAUUGCGUAGUAGCUAACACCUCGCAACUGGAGAGCGGCGCGGCCACGCCGUAAAACACCCAACUUCUGAAUGUUGACCUCGAAUCAGGUAGGAAUACCCGCUGAACUUAAGCAUAUCAAUAAGCGGAGGAAAUCGAAUUCCCGCGGCCGCCA